UUUUAUUUGAGCUUUCUUUAUUUUUUCCAGUUUUCUGCCUAUUUUAGGGUUUUCUGUUUAAGUUUUCUUUAGGUUUUUUUCAGUUUUCUGCCUGUUUUAAGGUUGUUUUUUUCAGAAAUACUAUUCUUUUUCUUUUUUUUUGUUUCCUUAUGUUUUUUUUUACUUUUUUACCCGUUUUAAUUUUUUUUAUAUAUUUUUUAAAGGUUUUUUCUUCUUUUUCUUUUUUAGAUAUAUGAUUUUUUAUCAGUUUUCUGCCCUUUUCAAGGGUUAUGUAUAUAUAUAUAUAUAUAUAUAUAUAUAUAUACACUCACCGGCCACUUUAUUAGGUACACCAUGCUAGUAACGGGUUGGACCCCCUUUUGCCUUCAGAACUGCCUCAAUUCUUCGUGGCAUAGAUUCAACAAGGUGCUGGAAGCAUUCCUCAGAGAGCUUGGUCCAUAUUGACAUGAUGGCAUCACACAGUUGCCGCAGAUUUGUCGGCUGCACAUCCAUGAUGCGAAUCUCCCGUUCCACCACAUCCCAAAGAUGCUCUAUUGGAUUGAGAUCUGGUGACUGUGGAGGCCAUUUGAGUACAGUGAACUCAUUGUCAUGUUCAAGAAACCAGUCUGAGAUGAUUCCAGCUUUAUGACAUGGCGCAUUAUCCUGCUGAAAGUAGCCAUCAGAAGUUGGGUACAUUGUGGUCAUAAAGGGAUGGACAUGGUCAGCAACAAUACUCAGGUAGGCUGUGGCGUUGCAACAAUGCUCAAUUGGUACCAAGGCGCCCAAAGAGUGCCAAGAAAAUAUUCCCCACACCAUGACACCACCACCACCAGCCUGAACCAUUGAUACAAGGCAGGAUGGAUCCAUGCUUUCAUGUUGUUGACGCCAAAUUCUGACCCUACCAUCCGAAUGUCGCAGCAGAAAUCGAAACUCAUCAGACCAGGCAACGUUUUUCCAAUCUUCUAUUGUCCAAUUUCGAUGAGCUUGUGCAAAUUGUAGCCUCAGUUUCCUGUUCUUAGCUGAAAGGAGUGGCACCCGGCGUGGUCUUCUGCUGCUGUAGCUCAUCUGCCUCAAAGUUCGACGUACUGUGCGUUCAGAGAUGCUCUUCUGCCUACCUUGGUUGUAACGGGUGGUUAUUUGAGUCACUGUUUCCUUUCUAUCAGCUCGAACCAGUCUGGCCAUUCUCCUCUGACCUCUGGCAUUAACAAGGCAUUUCCGCCCACAGAACUGCCGCUCACUGGAUAUUUUUUCUUUUUCGGACCAUUCUCUGUAAACCCUAGAGAUGGUUGUGCGUGAAAAUCCCAGUAGAUCAGCAGUUUCUGAAAUACUCAGACCAGCCCUUCUGGCACCAACAACCAUGCCACGUUCAAAGUCACUCAAAUCACCUUUCUUCCCCAUACUGAUGCUCGGUUUGAACUGCAGGAAAUUGUCUUGACCAUGUCUACAUGCCUAAAUGCACAAAGUUGCCGCCAUGUGAUUGGCUAAUUAGAAAUUAAGUGUUAACGAGCAGUUGGACAGGUGUACCUAAUAAAGUGGCCGGUGAGUGUAUAUAUAUAUAGGUAUAUAGGUUGAGGGUUAGGGUUUUCAGAAAUACUAUUCUUUUGUUUUCUUUAUUUUAUUUUUAUUUUUUUGCCUGUUUCAAGGUUUUCUUAUUAGUUUUUGUCUUUAAUUUUUUAAGUUUUUCAGUUUGUUUUGUCUUUUUUUGUUUUCUUUAGUUUUUUUUUUCCUAUUUUUUGCCUGGCACCUCUGUCAAGAUGAGCUACUCUUAGUCCGGUCCCUCCCCCAGGACCUGUUUGCCUUGGGUGACCCUUCAGAGGCAUAAAGCCCCGACAACAUAGCUCCUGUGAUCAUUGGGACACACAAACCCCUCCACCACGGUAAGGUGGUAGCUCGAGGAGGGGAAAAAACCCUCACGUGGGAGGGAAAAACCGCAAGGGGUUUUUUUUUUCUGUGCUAAACACCCAGUUUAGGGUGGGCUUUUCAUAUAUUUUUUUUCAGAAAUAAUAUUCUUUUUCUUUUUUUUUAGUUUCAUUUAGUUCUUUUUAAUUUUCUGCCAAUUUGAAGGCAGAUUAGGCAGACUAUUAAGGGUGGGUUUUUUGUUUUUUUUCUGCCUGUUUUAAGUUUUUUUUUCCAGAAAUACUAUUUUGUUCUUUUUUAAAUUUUCUUUAUUUUUUAUUUUCUGCCUAUUAUAAGGUUUUUUUGUUAGUUUUUUUUCAGUUUUCCGCCUGCUUCAAUAGUGUUUUAAGUUUUAAAUUUAAUAUAAAUUUUAAAAAUAUUUAUUUAUUUGUGCAAAAUACCUGGUUAAGGGUGUUUUUUUUUUAAGAAAAACUUUUUUUUAGUUUUCUAUAUAUUUUUUCCAGUUUUCUGCCUCUUUGAAGGGUUUUUUUUAGGGUUUUUUUCUUAGUUUUGUAUUGUCAGUUUUCUGCCAUUUUUAAGGGUGUUUUGUUUUCUUUUUUUUUCAUGUAUAUGAUUUUUUUUUGAUUUUUUUUUUUAUUUUCUGCCUUUUUUAGGGGUUUUUUUUUUUUUCUGCAAAACACCCCGUGGUGUGUUUUUUUUGUUUUUUGUUUUUCUGAAAUACUACUCUUUUUUUGUUUCUCUUCUAUAGUUUUUUUGUUUCUGCCUGUUUAAAGAAUUUUUUUAUUAUAUUUUUUAUUUUAAUUUUUUUUCCAGAAAUACUAUUCUUUUUUCCUUUUUCAGUGGUUUUUUUUUUUAGUUUUUUUUAUAUUUCUGCCUGUUUUAAGGUUUUUUUUAAUUAUUUUAUUUUAUUUUUUUUUUAUAUUUGCAAAAUACACAGUUUAGGUUUUUUUUUCCAGAAAUACCAUUCUUAUUCUUUUUUUAGUUUCCUUAUGUUCUUUGUAUUUUACUGCCUGUUUGAAUUAAUUUUUUAUUAUUUUAAGUUUUUUUUUACAGAAAUACUAUUAUUUUUUCUUUUUUUUAGUUUUCUUUCUUUUUUUUAGUUUUCUGCCUGCUUUAAGAGUGUUUUUUUCUAUUUUAAAUUUUUUUCUUUUUUUUUUAGAUAUAUGAAUUUUUUUAUCAGUUUUCUGCCUGUUCUAAGGGAUAUACAUAUAUUUAUGUAUUAAGGUUAAGGGUGUUUUUUUUUCAGAAAUACUAAUCUUUUUUUCUUUAGUUUUCUUUAGUUUUUUUUUCUGCCUGUUUUAAGGUUUUGUUUUUAGUUUUUUUAUUUUUAAGUUUUUUUUCAGAAAUACUAUUUUUUUUUGUAGUUUACUUUAAUUCUUUUUUAUAUGUCUGGCUGUUUUAAUUCUUUUUAUAUUUUUUUAAGUUUUUUUUUUUUUUACAGAAAUACUAUUAUUACUUUCUUUAUUAUUAGUUUUCUUUAUUUUUUUCGAGUUUCUGCCAAUUUCAGGGUGUUCUGUUUAAGUUUUCUUUAGUUUUUUCCAGUUUUCUGCCUGUUUUAAGGUUUCUUUUUUAGUUUUUUGUAAGUUUAUUUUUUCAGAAAUACUAUUCUUUUUCUUUUUUUAGUUUCCUUGUUUUUUUAUUUUUCUGCCUGUUUAAAUUUUUUUAAUAUUUCUUUAAUGUUUUUUUUACAGAAAUACUAUAUUUUUUCUCUUUUUUAGUUUUCUUUAAUUCUUUUUUAUACGUCUGCCUGUUUUAAUUAUUUUUAUAUUUUUUUAAGGUUUUUUUUUACAGAAAUACUAUUAUUUCUUUCUUUCUUAUUAGUUUUCUUUAUUUUUUCCAGUUUCUUCCUAUUUCAGGGUGUUCUGUUUAAGUUUUCUUUAGUUUUUUCCAGUUUUCUGCCUGUUUUAAGGUUUCUUUUUUAGUUUUUUGUAAGUUUAUUUUUUCAGAAAUACUAUUCUUUUUCUUUUUUUAAUGUCUUUGUUUUUUUAUUUUUCUGCCUGUUUAAAUUUUUUUUAUAUUGCUUUAAUGUUUUUUUUUACAGAAAUACUAUUAUUUUUGUAUAGUUUCCUUAUGUUUUUUUUAUUUUUCUGCCUGUUUUAAUUUUUUUAAAAUAUUUUUGUGAGGUUUUUUUUUACAGAAAGACUAUUAUUUUUUCUUUUUUCUUUUCUUUAUUUUGCUUCCAGUUUUCUGCCUAUUUUAGGGUUUUCUGUUUAAGUUUUCUUUAGUUUUUUUUCAGUUUUCUGCCUGCUUUAAGGGUCUUUUUUAGUUUUUUCUUUCUUUUUUUUAGAUAUAUGAUUUUUUUUUAUCAGUUUUCUGCCUGUUUUAAGGGAUUUAUAUAUAUUUAUGUAUUUAGGUUGAGGGUGUUUUUUUCAGAAAUACUAAUCUUUUUUUUCUUUAGUUUUCUUUAGUUAUUUCUAUUUUUCUGCCUGUUUUAAAGUUUUGUUUUUAGUUUUUUUUAUUUUUAAGUUUUUUUUCAGAAAUACUAUUCUUUUUUUUGUAGUUUACUUUAAUUCUUUUUUAUAUGUCUGGCUGUUUUAAUUCUUUUUAUAUUUUUUUAAGGUUUUUUUUUUUUUUUUACAGAAAUACUAUUAUUACUUUCUUUCUUAUUAGUUUUCUUUAUUUUUUUCCAGUUUCUGCCUAUUUCAGGGUGUUCUGUUUAAGUUUUCUUUAGUUUUUUCCAGUUUUCUGCCUGUUUUAAGGGUUUUUUUGUUUUUUCAGAAAUACUAUUCCUGUCCUUUUUUAUUCUUCUGCCUGUUUCAAGGUUUUGUUAUUAGUUUUUGUCUUUAAUUCUUUUGUUUUUUUAGUUUUUUUGUUUUUGUUUUUUGUUUUCUUUAAUUUUUUUUUUCUAUUUUUUGCCUGGCACCUCUGUCAAGAUGAGCUACUCUUAGUCCGGUCCCUCCCCCAGGACCUGUUUGCCUUGGGUGACCCUUCAGAGGCAUAAAGCCCCGACAACAUAGCUCCUGUGAUCAUUGGGACACACAAACCCCUCCACCACGGUAAGGUGGUAGCUCGAGGAGGGGAAAAAACCCUCACGUGGGAGGGAAAAACCGCAAGGGUUUUUUUUUUUCUGUGCUAAACACCCAGUUUAGGGUGGGUUUUUCAUAUUUUUUUUCAGAAAUAGUAUUCUUUUUCUUUUUUUUUAGUUUCAUUUAGUUCUUUUUAAUUUUCUGCCAAUUUGAAGGCAGAUUAGGCAGACUAUUAAGGGUGGGUUUUUUGGUUUUUUUCUGCCUGUUUUAAGUUUUUUUUUCCAGAAAUACUAUUUUGUUCUUUUUUUAAUUUUCUUUAUUUUUUAUUUUCUGCCUAUUUUAAGGUUUUUUGUUAGUUUUUUUUCAGUUUUCCGCCUGCUUUAAGAGUGUUUUGAGUUUUAAAUUGAAUAUACAUUUUAAGAAAAUAUUUUUUUAUUUGUGCAAAAUACCUGGUUAAGGGUGUUUUUUUUUUUAAGAAAAACUUUUUUUUAGUUUUCUAUAUAUUUUUUCCAGUUUUCUGCAUCUUUGAAGGAUUUUUUUUUAGUUUUUUUUUCUUAGUUUUGUAUUGUCAGUUUUCUGCCAUUUUUUAGGGUGUUUUGUUUUCUUUUUUUCAUGUAUAUGAUUUUUUUUUAAUUUUCUGCCUUUUUAGGGGUUUUCUUUUUUUUAUUUUUUAUUUUAAAUUUUUUUCCAGAAAUACUAUUCUUUUUUCCUUUUUUAGUGUUUUUUUUUAGUUUUUUUUUAUAUUUCUGCCUGUUUUAAGGUUGGUUUUUAGUUUUUUUUUUAGUUGUUUUUUUAUUUUUGCAAAAUACACAGUUUAGGUUUUUUUUUUCAGAAAUACUAUUCUUUUUCUUUUUUUAGUUUCCUUAUGUUCUUUGUAUUUUUCUGCCUGUUUGAAUUUAUUUUUUAUUAUUUUAAGUUUUUUUUUACAGAAAUACUAUUAUUUUUUCUUUUUUUAGUUUUCUGCCUGCUUUAAGGGUGUUUUUUUUCUAUUUUAAAUUUUUUGCUUUUUUUUUAGAUAUAUGAAUUUUUUUUUAUCAGUUUUCUGCCUGUUUUUAGGGAUAUAUAUAUAUAUAUAUUUGUAUUUAGGUUGAGGGUGUCUUUUUUUCAGAAAUACUAAUCUUUUUUCUUUAGUUUUUUUUUUUCUGCCUGUUUAAAGGUUUUGUUUUUAGGUUUUUUAUUUUUAAGUUUUUUUUCAGAAAUACUAUAUUUUUUCUUUUUUUUAGUUUCCUUUAAUUCUUUUUUAUACGUCUGCCUGUUUUAAUUCUUUUUAUAUUUUUUUAAGGUUUUUUUUUAACAGAAAUACUAUUACUUCUUUCUUUCUUAUUAGUUUUCUUUAUUUUUUUCCCGUUCUGCCUAUUUCAGGGUGUUCUGUUUAAGUUUUCUUUAGUUUUUUCCAGUUUUCUGCCUGUUUUAAGGGUGUUUUUUUUUUCUUUCUUUUUUUUUUUAGAUAUAUGAUUUUUUUAUCAGUUUUCUGCCUGUUUUAAGGGAUUUAUAUAUAUUUAUGUAUUUAGGUUGAGGGUGUUUUUUUUUCAGAAAUACUAAUCUUUUUUUCUUUAGUUUUCUUUAGUUUUUUAUUUUUCUGCCUGUUUUAAGGUUUUGUUUUUAGUUUUUUUUAUUUUUAAUUUUUUUUUUCAGAAAUACUAUUCUUUUUCUUUUUUUAGUUUCCUUUAAUUCUUUUUUAUAUGUCUGCCUGUUUUAAUUCUUUUUAUAUUUUUUUAAGGGUUUUUUUUUUACAGAAAUACUAUUAUUUCUUUCUUUCUUAUUAGUUUUCUUUAUUUUUUCCAGUUUCUGCCUAUUUCAGGGUGUUCUGUUUAAGUUUUCUUUAGUUUUUUCCAGUUUUCUGCCUGUUUUAAGGGUUUUUUUUUUUUUUCAGAAAUACUAUUCCUGUCCUUUCUUAUUUUUUCUGCCUGUUUUAAGGUUUCUUUUUUAGUUUUUUUUAUUUUUAUUUUCAGAAAUACUAUUAUUUUUUUUAUUUUUUUUAGUUUUCUUUGUUUUGUUUUUUCCAGUUUUCUGCCUCUUUUGGUUUUUUUUGUUUAAGUUUUCUCUAUUUUUUUUUCAGUUUUCUGCCUGCUUUAAGGGUGUUUUUUUUUAGCUUUUUUUUUAGAUAGAUGAUUUUCUAUCAGUUUUCUGCCUGUUUUAAGGGUUAUACAUAUAUAUAUAUAUAUAUAGGUUGAGAGUGUUUUUUUUCAGAAAUACUAUUCUUUUUUUAGUUUCAUUUAGUUCUUUUUAAUUUUCUGCCUAUUUGAAGGCAGAUUAGGCAGACUCUUAGGGGUGUUUUUUUUGUUUGUUUUUGUUUCCUAUAGUUCUUUUUAUUUUUUUGCCUGUUUUAAGUUUUUCUUUCAGAAAUACUGUUUUUUUCCUUUUUUAUUUUCUUUAGUUUUUUUUUAAUUUUCUUCCUAUUUUAAGUUUUUUUUGUUUAAGUUUUAUUUAGUUUUUUUCAGUUUUCAGUCUGCUUUAAGGGUGUUUUAAGUUUUAAAUUUAAUUUAAAUUUUUGAAACAUAUUUAUUUAUUUGUGCAAAAUACCUGGUAUAGGGUUUUUUUUAUUUGUUUUUUUUUUUUAAGAAAAACUUUUUUUUUCGUUUUCUUUAUUUUUUUUCCAGUUUUCUGUCUCAUUGAAUGUUUUUUUUGUUUUGUUUCCUUAGUUUUGUUUUUUCAGUUUUCUGCCAUUUUAAGGAUGUUUUUUUUCUUUUUUUUCAUGUAUAUGAUUUUUUUUAGUUUUCUUUAUUUUCUUUCCAUUUUCUGCCUGUUUUAGGGGUUUCCUUUUUUUUUCCGGCAAAACACCCAGUGAAUUGUUUUUUUUUUGUUUUUGUUUUUCUGAAACACUAUUCUUUAUUUUUUAGUUUUCUUUAGUUGUUUUUUUCUGCAAAAUACACAGUUAAGGUUUUUUUUCCAGAAAUACUAUUCUUUUUUCCUUUUUUUGUAGUUUUUUUUUAUGUUUCUGCCUGUUUUAAGGUUUUUUUUUUAGGGUUUUUUUUUUUAGUUGUUUUUUUUUGCAAAAUACACAGUUAAGGUUUUUUUUCCAGUUAAGGUUUUUUUUUCCAGAAAAACUAUUAAUUUUCUUUUUUCUUUCGUUUUCUCUAUUUUUUUUCCAGUUUUCGGCCUAUUUUUAAGGUUUUUUUAAGGUUAUUUAUAUAUACUGUAUUUAUUCAUAAUACAGAAAUACUUUUCUUUUUGUUUUUUGUUUUUGUUUUUCAGAAACAAUUUUCUUUAGUUUUUUCUGCCUGUUUUAAUUUUUUUGAGUUUUUUCUGUUUUUUUCAGAUAUACUAUUCUUUUUCUUUUUUUAGUUUUCUUUAGUUUUUUUAUGUUUCUACCUGUUUUAAGUUUUUUGUUGUUGUUUUGUUUAAGUUUUUUUAAAGUUGUUUUUAUUUUCAGAAAUACUAUUCUUUUUCUUUUUUUUAGUUUCCUGUUAUGACUGGGGUCAUAAUUGGUUGAGUGUCUGCUGGGUGUGUGUGCUCUGUGUUUUCUCUGCGUCAAUCUUGUAUGCAAAUAGGUGUGUGCCACAGCAACGCGGUCAUUGGUGGGAUGGACUACGCCCUGUAUGGUGAUUGGCCGAGACCAGCUAUAUUGAGAACCAAGAUGGCAGCCACCAUGUGCAGAGGCCAGGCGUUCCUCAUCCUCCUCCUCUCCCAACCGGCCACCCUAUUUUGCAGCUUAAAGACUAUGGUGUAUUGUGUUCUGUUUUCCUUCAGUAGUAGGGGUGGACUGCCAGUUUUGUUAACAUUAUUUUCUCCUGUGUAUUUUAGUUAGGGAGGUAAGUCUUUUGUCAUUUGUUUCCUUUGUUUUGGUUAGGGAAGGACUUACUACUCAGACAGGAUUAUUUUUGGUUGUUGUUUUGGCCUUGGUCCACCCUGAAGUCUAGUUAUCCAGCCUUAGUUCUUUUGUCUAUCUUUUGUUAUUUACUGAUUUAUACAAAUAAAUCUUUAUCUUUAACUUUAACUGGAUCUCGGUUGUUGUGGCUACUUGGGACUUGGGGAUGAUGAGGCCUUCUCAUGUUGUGCCCUAGGCACCCCUAGACUGGGGCGUAACAUGAAUUGGGGGCUCGUCCGUCUUCUUGUCGCGUUUCUUCGGUGAGUAUGUGUUUUUCUGGUUGGUAGUUUUUUUUGUGUGUGGGGGGAAUUAUGGAUUUUUCACUGGAUGAUUUUAUGGCCAGUCCCUCUUUUGCAAAAAUUGAAAAAUGUAAAAAAGCAGACCUGUUGAUUGUGGCAAAUUUCUUUAAUGUAAAAGUACCAUACAAUGUCAACAAAGCAGAGCUCAAACAGUUGCUGUGUGCACAGUUGGUGGAGCAGGGCGUCUUACCUAAACCAGCGCUUGAUGCGGUUGCUGCGGGUGAUGUGGCUAGUGUCGCACCGGGGGCUGAGGUGAAAGCGGCGGGGGCUGCUGGCACGCUCGCUGCUGGUGCGGAACUUGGGCCGGUCACGGAUCCUCUCAUGGGUACCAUGACCACAGAGGAUCUCCGCAUAGCACUCCAAAUAAAGGAGGCAGAGACCCGAAACAAACAGCUAGAGGUACAAGCAAAGGAGGCCGAGACCCGAAACUUGCAUCUACGCUUAAGGGUUCUCGAGCUGGAAAAAGGAGCCUUUGCAGCCUCUACCCCAGUGUCUCCUGUUGACCGCAGCUCUGUUUCUGCUCCCGCUUUUGACAUAAGUAAGCACAUUGCUUUAGUCCCUCCGUUUCGUGAGUCCGAGGUGGACUCGUAUUUUAGCGCUUUCGAGCGGAUAGCUGCUGCCCUUAGUUGGCCUAAAGAGUUCUGGUCCCUUCUCCUCCAGUGUAAAUUAGUGGGGAAAGCUCAAGAAGUCUGUGCCAGUCUGUCUAUCGAGGAUAGUCUUGAUUAUAAAAUCUUGAAAAAGACUGUGUUGCAGGCCUACGAGCUGGUCCCUGAAGCCUAUCGGCAAAAAUUUAGAAAUAGUGAGAAAACUUCCAACCAGACCUAUGUUGAAUUUGUGCGUGACAAGAGCGUUCUGUUUGAUAAAUGGUGCCACGCGUGUAAUAUUAAAACUAUGGCGGAAAUGAGAGAGCUCAUUUUGCUCGAGGAAUUUAAAAAGUGUUUGCCGGAGCGAAUUGUCGUAUAUUUGAAUGAGCAAAAGGAGUCAUCGGUAACGAAAGCAGCUGUGCUCGCCGAUGAGUUCAUUUUGACUCAUAAAAGCGUUUUUUCUUUGCCAACCCCUCGUGUUUUACAUCCAAUGUCUGAGCGCAGAAACCGAUCGCCAAAGCUGAUGCGUAAAAGCACCUCACCAGCUGCGGGUGAGAGCCGCGAGUGUUUUUAUUGCCACAUUCCUUUAAUCCUUUUUUAUAUUUCUGCCUGUUUUAAUUUUUUUUAUAUAUUUUUUAAGGUUUUUAUUUUACAGAAAUACCAUUAUUUUUUCUUUUUUUUUAGUUUUCUUAAUUUUUUUUCCAGUUUUCUGCCCAUUUUAGGGUUUUUUGUUUAAGUUAUCUUUAAUUUUUUCAGUUUUCUGCCUGCUUUAAGGUUUUUUUUUCUUUUUCUUUUUUUGGCAUUUUUUUUAGAUAUAUGAGUUUUUUUUAUCAGUUUUCUGCCCUUUUAAAGGUAUAUAUAUAUAUAUAUAUAUAUAUAUAUAUAUAUAUAUAUAUAUAUAUACACAUUAUAUAUAUAUAUGUAUAUAUAUAACAUAUAUAUACACAUACAUAUACAUAUGUAUAUAGGUUUUCUGCCUAUUUUAGGGUUUUCUGUUUAAGUUUUCUUUAGUUUUUUUCAGUUUUCUGCCUGUUUCAAGGUUGUUGUUUUUUUCAGAAAUACUAUUCCUGUCCUUUUUUUCUAUUUUUUCGCCUGUUUUAAGGUUUUGUUUUAAGUUUUUUUUCUUUUUUUUUCAGAAAU